CUUGAUGGAACCCAACCACAGCGGCCGAUCCGGAUCGCGUUCUUGGCCGUAGGUCGCCAAGAUCGCCUGGGCCUC
rnacentral:antisense_RNA from 1 species